UACGGAGGGGGUUAGCGUUGUUCGGAAUUACUGGGCGUAAAGCGCGCGUAGGCGGAUUAGAAAGUUGGGGGUGAAAUCCCGGGGCUCAACCUCGGAACUGCCUCCAAAACUGCUAGUCUAGAGUUCGAGAGAGGUGAGUGGAAUUCCGAGUGUAGAGGUGAAAUUCGUAGAUAUUCGGAGGAACACCAGUGGNGAAGGCGGCUCACUGGCUCGAUACUGACGCUGAGGUGCGAAAGUGUGGGGAGCAAACAGC
rnacentral:rRNA from 1 species